rnacentral:rRNA from 1 species
GACGAACGCUGGCGGCGUGCUUAACUCAUGCAAGUCGAGCGAUGAACCUUUUAUGAAUUUUUCGGAAUGAUUGGAAGAGGAUUAGCGGCGGACGGGUGAGUAACGCGUGAGCAACCUGCCUUAAACAACGGGAUAGCCUCGGGAAACCGGGAUUAAUACCGUAUGAGACCCCGCCUUCACAUGAAGAAGAGGUUAAAGAUUUAUCGGUUUAAGAUGGGCUCGCGUCUGAUUAGCUAGUUGGUGAGAUAAAAGCCCACCAAGGCAACGAUCAGUAACCGGCUUGAGAGAGUGAACGGUCACAUUGGAACUGAGACACGGUCCAAACUCCUACGGGAGGCAGCAGUGGGGAAUAUUGCACAAUGGGGGAAACCCUGAUGCAGCGACGCCGCGUGAGCGAUGAAGGAAUUCGUUUCGUAAAGCUCUGUCUAAGGGGAAGAUAAUGACAGUACCCUUGGAGGAAGCCCCGGCUAAAUACGUGCCAGCAGCCGCGGUAACAC